rnacentral:lncRNA from 12 species
GACAGAGCUUGUCCAGGAAAAAAUCUGGCCCAUGCAUGGUCUGCUGCAGGGAUGAAUCCUUCAAGUUUUCACAGGAACAUUCUACUUUCAAAUGGUGGGGGAAACCUGGACUCAAAAAGAAUCAAACUCCUCACGGUACCAUUAGUGGACAAGAGUCUGGAACACAGGAUCGGGAGUCAGCUGUAUCAAUUGGCCCUGCAGUCACCAGUGAGGAACGGAGCACAGUGUGUCAACACAGGGGUAUGGUUACUUGAGUGGAGUAAAAGAGAAUCUGAAGGAGAAACCCAAUCUAGGAGUCAAGGCCCCUGUCAAAGAAAAAAACGCACUGGACGAUGGAGCAGGUGAGUUUCUUCAGGCUGUUGCAAUAAGGAGGAAAACCUAGUAAUGAGGAAUCCCAGGGUGCCUGGGUGGCUCAGUUGGUUAAGUGUCUGCCUUUGGCUCAGGUCAUGUCUCGGGAUCCUGAAAUGGAGCCCUUCAUCAGGCUCCCUGCUCAGCGGGAGUCUGCUUCUGCCUCUGCCCCUCCCCCUGCUCCUGCUCUCUCUUGCUCUUACUCUCUCUGUCAAAUAAAUAAAAUCUUUUUUAAAAAAUGAGGAAUUCC